rnacentral:lncRNA from 1 species
GCCGUCGCUCUCCAACGCCAGCGCCGCCUCUCGCUCGCCGAGCUCCAGCCGAAGGAGAAGGGGGGUACCUAAGUAUAUGAUUGCGAGUGGAAAAAUAGGGGACAGAAAUCAGGUAUUGGCAGUUUUUCCAUUUUCAUUUGUGUGUGAAUUUUUAAUAUAAAUGCGGAGACGUAAAGCAUUAAUGCAAGUUAAAAUGUUUCAGUGAACAAGUUUCAGCGGUUCAACUUUAUAAUAAUUAUAAAUAAACCUGUUAAAUUUUUCUGGACAAUGCCAGCAUUUGGAUUUUUUUAAAACAAGUAAAUUUCUUAUUGAUGGCAACUAAAUGGUGUUUGUAGCAUUUUUAUCAUACAGUAGAUUCCAUCCAUUCACUAUACUUUUCUAACUGAGUUGUCCUACAUGCAAGUACAUGUUUUUAAUGUUGUCUGUCUUCUGUGCUGUUCCUGUAAGUUUGCUAUUAAAAUACAUUAAACUAUAAAAAAAAAAAAAA